UUUUGGAGAGUUUGAUCCUGGCUCAGGACGAACGCUGGCGGCGCGCUUAAUGCAUGCAAGUCGAACGAGGUACGGCCCUUCGGGGCCAAUGCCAAGUGGCGGACGGCUGAGUAACGCGUGAGUGACCUGCCCUUAAGUGGGGGACAACAUCGAGAAAUCGGUGCUAAUACCGCAUAAUCUCUGCACCUCAGCGGGAGCAGAGGAAAGGCUAUAUGCCACUUUUGGAGGGGCUCGCGUUCUAUCAGGUAGUUGGUGAGGUAACGGCUCACCAAGCCAUCGACGGAUAGCCGGAGUGAGAGCUCGAUCGGCCAGAGGGGGACUGAGACACGGCCCCCACUCCUACGGGAGGCAGCAGCAGGGAAUCUUGCACAAUGGGCGAAAGCCUGAUGCAGCGACGCCGCGUGAGGGAAGAAGGCUCUAGGGUCGUAAACCUCUUUUCUAAAGGAAGAGAAUGGACGGUACUUUAGGAAUAAGCCACGGCUAACUACGUGCCAGCAGCCGCGGUAAUACGUAGGUGGCAAGCGUUGUCCGGAAUUACUGGGCGUAAAGGGCCUGUAGGCGGCAUGGUAAGUCCGUAGUGAAAUCUCCCGGCUUAACUGGGAGCGGUCUAUGGAUACUGCCAAGCUAGAGAUCAUCAGAGGAGAGCGGAAUUCCCGGUGUAGUGGUGAAAUGCGUAGAUAUCGGGAGGAACACCAGUGGCGAAAGCGGCUCUCUGGGGUGGUUCUGACGCUGAGGGGCGAAAGCGUGGGGAGCAAACCGGAUUAGAUACCCGGGUAGUCCACGCCCUAAACGAUGAAUGCUAAGUCUCCGGGGUAUCCACCCCCUGUGGGCUGCAGUUAACGCGUUAAGCAUUCCGCCUGGGGACUACGGCCGCAAGGCUAAAACUCAAAGGAAUUGACGGGACCCCGCACAAGCAGCGGAGCGUGUGGUUUAAUUCGAUGCUAAGCGAAGAACCUUACCUAGGCUUGACAUGUAAGUGGUACCAAUUCGAAAGAUGAGGGACCCGCAAGGGAGCUUACACAGGUGCUGCAUGGCUGUCGUCAGCUCGUGCCGUGAGGUGUUGGUUUAAGUACCGCAACGAGCGCAACCCUCGUCGUUAGUUGUAUUUUCUAGCGAGACUGCCCGAAAGGGAGGAAGGUGGGGAUGACGUCAAGUCAUCAUGGCUCUUACGUCUAGGGCUACACACACGCUACAAUGGCCGGCACAGACGGUUGCUAAACCGCGAGGUGGAGCCAAUCCGAAAAAACCGGCCCCAGUUGGAAUUGCAGGCUGAAACUCGCCUGCAUGAACGUGGAGUUGCUAGUAAACGCAGGUCAGCACACUGCGUUGAAUACGUUCCCGGGGUUUGUACACACCGCCCGUCACGUCAUGGAAGUUGGCAAUACUUGAAGUCGCUGGGCUAACCCAUUUAUUUGGGAGGCAGGUGCCGAGGGUAGGGCCGAUGACUGGGACGAAGUCGUAACAAGGUAGCUGUACCGGAAGGUGCGGCUGGAUCACCUCCUUUCUAAGGAG
rnacentral:rRNA from 1 species